rnacentral:rRNA from 1 species
AUGUGCUCUUUGGUGCAGCGCUCACUGAACACAUUGAUAUGUAAGUCAAUUCUAACAAAUAACUCUUUGCUUUUUCGUGGUGGCGCAAAUACAUCAGAUUUAUCAUCACCUAGAACCGAACAUUGGAUUCUUUUUGCCUUCAUGUCAACACUACCGCAAAUGACGAUGAUACUGCAUAGUUAUCCAGUUAGUUUUGUGAGAACUAAUAUGAUAACUACUGGAACUAAUAGGAUAAACUAUAGUAGUACUGUUGCAUUGGAAUACAUGAUUCUCUGGUUGGUACUAGGCAUGAUGCUUGCAUUCAAUAUCUAG